rnacentral:rRNA from 1 species
CACGGGGGGGAGCAAGCGUUGUUCGGAUUCAUUGGGCGUAAAGGGCGCGUAGGCGGUUGGAUAAGUCAGCUGUGAAAACCACGGGCUUAACUCGUGGCCUGCAGUUGAGACUGUCUGGCUUGAGUGUGGGAGAGGAGAGUGGAAUUCCUGGUGUAGCGGUGAAAUGCGCAGAUAUCAGGAAGAACACCCGUGGCUAAGGCGGCUCUCUAGUACGGUACUGACGCUGAGACGCGAAAGCGUGGGGAGCGAACAGG